AACGAACGCUGGCGGCAGGCUUAACACAUGCAAGUCGAGCGCCCCGCAAGGGGAGCGGCAGACGGGUGAGUAAAGCGUGGGAAUCUACCCAUCUCUACGGAAUAACGCAUGGAAACGUGUGCUAAUACCGUAUACGUCCUUCGGGAGAAAGAUUUAUCGGAGAUGGAUGAGCCCGCGUUGGAUUAGCUAGUUGGUGGGGUAAAGGCCUACCAAGGCGACGAUCAAUAGCUGGUCUGAGAGGAUGAUCAGCCACACUGGGACUGAGACACGGCCCAGACUCCUACGGGAGGCAGCAGUGGGGAACAUUGGACAAUGGGCGCAAGCCUGAUCCAGCCAUGCCGCGUGAGUGAUGAAGGCCCUAGGGUUGUAAAGCUCUUUCACCGGUGAAGAUAAUGACGGUAACCGGAGAAGAAGCCCCGGCUAACUUCGUGCCAGCCGCCGCCGUAACAC
rnacentral:rRNA from 1 species